CAAUGGGUUUUCUUUGGUGAGGUUUUUAAUGAGGGAGGUCUUCAUGGUUUCCAAGCUUGACUUGUUCCACAUGGUCAAGCUUGAGGGGGAGUGUUGAGAUGAGGUAAUAAAGAGUGACUAUAUUGAUAGAGAAUGAGGAUUGAGACAGACAGUAACUUUGGAGUUACCACAGUAACUUUGGUUUUACUGUGGUAACUAAGUUAAAGCUUGGAAAGUUACCUUGGCUCACAUUGGAGAGUAAGCCACGACCAAGGAGCUGUAUGGAUAAGGGAGGAGCAGUCUGGAUAAGGUUUAGGGCUGGAUAAGGCUGGAGACAGGCUGGAAAGUAGACAGCAUCUAGUAAAAGAUGCCAAAGGGAUCAAGCAUGUGAAGACUCCCAUUGGCUGCUUUUGGAUGGCUCUCUUUGACUACACAUGCCCUGAACCUCUACCUUAUCUGAUUGAUUUCGAAAUUGUCUCUCUCAUAUAAGUAUGUUGUAAACCUCAUCUUUAAUAAUUAAUGGAGUUUUGAGUCUCUCUCUCUCUAGAAUCUCUCUAUUCUCUCUAAAUUCUACUCUAAUCUUCUCUGAUUAUUAUUAAACACACUCUAAAACACAAAAGUGUUUAAAUACUACUUGACAAUCCAGAUCAAUUGUAGCUUUCUUAACAGAUAUCAGAUUUGAAGUGAACUGAGGCAGAUAUAAGGCGGUUGAGCUCUUCUCAAACAGCUUGAGGUUUCCCAUUCCUUCUACUGGGAUCUGAGCGCCAUUAGCUAUGGUAACACACCCUGUUGCAGCCCUGACAUCACUUAUCAGACUCCUAUCACUGAUCAUAUGAUGUGUUGCUCCAGAAUCAAUUAUGAUAGGUUUAGAGGCUGUGUAGGAAUCGCUUUGCUUCUCACUUGCAGCUAGAGCACCUUGCUUCUUUCUUGCAACCAGUUCAUACACACACUUAACAAACUCAUCCCAUUCUUUCUUUGUGAUUGGAUCCUCUCCUCCUUUGGUCUCCUGCCUCCUUGUACCUACACCAUCUUCUACUGAUUCUCCCAAGUAAGCUGAGUAUGAACACUCUCCUAUAACCAUCUGCUGAAGUAUAUCCUUGAUUCUCUUCAAGAUCACACUCAUCCUGUCACUUAAGUGCUCAGACUCGCUACCCUUUCUCCAUGCCCUUCUCUUCAUUAACCACUCCUUAGAAAGUUUUCUCAACCUUCCCUUCUUACAGCUUGUACCUCCCUUCCAUCUUUCUGGUUUCCUGUUCAUCUCCCACACAUCACAAGUGUAUUUAACAAGCUCACAUACCUCUUCCAUAAGGAAGCCAAAGAUCACAUCUUGCUUCCUCCUUUCUUGACCACAUCUCGGAUUUGAUGUGUGUGCCUUCACCACAUCUAACUCUGACCAUACUUCUCUCAGCCUUCCCACAAGCUGAUAACACUCAUCCCUUCCUUGUCUCAAGCCGCGGAUCAUCCCUUUGUCCUCAACGACUCUUACAGGCUUGGACUUGUCUAAAGUUGCUUCAAUCUCACUCUUUGUAGUGUCUCCUUGAACAACUUCAUUUCCCAGAUUCAGACCUCUUGUCUGACCUUCUUCAGUAGCCAUUUCCAUGAAAGGUUUCCCCUUUCCAUGACUGCUCCAUAACCCACAGCUUUCCAAAGCUCCCUUUAUCCAUCUUGAACACACUCCAUCCAUUUCUUCUUCACGCCCCAAAGAUUUACUAAACCUGUGCUUCAUCUCCUGUUGAGGUUGCUUGAAUCGACCAGACAACCUCCCAAAUACCCAGAAACUGAAGAACAGCUCAAGAACAGCUCAAGAACAGCAAGAACACACAACAGAUUCUCGCAAAUCACCACUCCCUUCCUUGCCAACCUGGCUCUGAUACCAUAUACACUUUUGUGUAUGUAGAGUGAUGAAUAAAUAUCAAGAGAUGAUUAGUGUAGAUUUGGAGAUUUAAGAGAGACUAAGAGAAUAAAGAACAAGAGAGAAUACUCAAAACUCCAUUAAUUGAUUCAGAUGAGAGAUUACAAGCUAUAAAGAGAUUACAAUCAUGUCUAGGUUCAGUGUAUUCAAUCUAGACCUAUAAGCAUGUGAAGUCAAUAGAAAUACUAGGCUGAGAUGCUUCACAUGCUUGGACAGGCUGUCACUUGCUGUAAAGAUGCUUAUCCUUUCCAGCCAAGAGAAACCUUAUCCCUUACCCUCCUUGGACGAGUUUCAACUCCUCUCUUCACCAAGUUACCUUCUCAUCACUUCAGGUAACUUCCCAAGUAGUUACUGUGGUUAAAAUAAAGUUACCACAGUAAAACUCUAAAGUUACUGUCUCAGCCUCAACACUCUAUUGAACCUCAAAGCUUCAUCUCUUCACUUCUUGGUCUUCUUCUCAACAGAAGAGACAUAAGGGUUUUCAGAAAGCAUAAGCAUGUGAAGUCAAGGAUAAGGUUUGCUUUAAUUCAAACUGAGCCAAUAGGAGAGGCCACACGCUUUUGGGAUCUUUUACUAAGACUGCUUUUGCCAAUACAGCCUGUCCCAGCCUGUCAAGAUAAGACCCAGCUCCCUUAGCCAUCCAAACGGUCAUCUCUUCAUGGUAAAAUCCCCUUUGGCCGUUAACUCCUUUUACUCGGGUAAAAGGUGACUUAGCCGAGUUAUGGAUCGACCAUGGUCCGGAUGGUACGGCCUGUACGGCCUUGUACGGCCUGGUCGAUCCCUAACCCAUCUUUUCCAUUCCUUCACACCAUCUCAUCUCUUCUUCAACUCCUUAGGACAUCUUCUCUCAUAUACUGAUCAGCUCAUUUCAACAGAUUCAUCCUGGUUUGAUUAGAAUGACGAAGAAGAUGUCAUAUUCCCAAACAGGGAAACUGGGAUCACCUUAUUUGAAAGUGGGAUAACUUCUUCAUCCUAACUCCUAUGAGAUUUAUUCAAAUUCCUGGUGAUUCUCCACUACUCUAUGUAUCUAAAUCAAGCUUUGUACAUCGCGAUUCUUCCUGGUUUGAUUAGAAUGUCGAAGAAGUUGUCAUAUUCCCAAACAGGGAAACUAGGAUCACCUUAUUUGAAAGUUGGAUAACUUCUUCAUCCUAACUCCUAUGAGAUUUAUUCAACUUCCUGGUGAUUCUCCACUGCUUUAUGUAUCCAAAUGAAGGUUCUUACAUCGCGAUUCAUCCUGGUUUGAUUAGAAUGACGAAGAAGUUGUCAUAUUCCCAAACAGGGAAACUGGGAUCACCUUAUUUGAAAGUGGGAUAACUUCUUCAUCCUAACUCCUAUGAGAUUUAUUCAACUUCCUGGUGAUUCUCCACUACUUUAUGUAUCCAAAUGAAGGUUCUUACAUCGCGAUUCAUCCUGGUUUGAUUAGAAUGACGAAGAAGUUGUCAUAUUCCCAAACAGGGAAACUGGGAUCACCUUAUUUGAAAGUGGGAUAACUUCUUCAUCCUAACUCCUAUGAGAUUUAUUCAACUUCCUGGUGAUUCUCCACUACUUUAUGUAUCCAAAUGAAGGUUCUUACAUCGCGAUUCAUCCUGGUUUGAUUAGAAUGACGAAGAAGUUGUCAUAUUCCCAAACAGGGAAACUGGGAUCACCUUAUUUGAAAGUGGGAUAACUUCUUCAUCCUAACUCCUAUGAGAUUUAUUCAACUUCCUGGUGAUUCUCCACUACUCUAUGUAUCUAAAUCAAGCUUUGUACAUCGCGAUUCAUCCUGGUUUGAUUAGAAUGUCGAAGAAGUUGUCAUAUUCCAAAACAGGGAAAAUGGGAUCACCUUAUUUGAAAGUGAGAUAACUUCUUCAUCCUAACUCCUAUGAGAUUUAUUCAACUUCCUCCAAACAGGGAAACUGGGAUCACCUUAUUUGAAAGUGUGAUAACUUCUUCAUCCUAACUCCUAUGAGAUUUAUUCAAAUUCCUGGUGAUUCUCCACUACUCUAUGUAUCUAAAUCAAGCUUUGUACAUCGCGAUUCUUACUGGUUUGAUUAGAAUGUCGAAGAAAUUGUCAUAUUCCCAAACAUGGAAACUGGGAUAACCUUAUUUGAAAGUGGGAUACUUCUUCAUCCUAACUCCUAUGAGAUUUAUUCAACUUCCUGGUGAUUCUCCACUACUUUAUGUAUCCAAAUGAAGAUUCUUACAUCACGAUUCUUCCUGGUUUGAUUAGAAUGACGAAGAAGUUGUCAUAUUCCCAAACAGGGAAACUAGGAUCACCUUAUUUGAAAGUGGGAUAACUUCUUCAUCCUAACUCCUAUCAGAUUUAUUCAAAUUCCUGGUGAUUCUCGACUACUCUUUGUAUCUAAAUCAAGCUUUUCUCCAUCCUAACUCCUAUUAUGAUUUUAGAGAAUAAGAACGGUAUUGAGAAGUCUAAGAGAGAUUCAAGCGAGAUUAGAGUGUUUAAGAGAAGAUGUAUGAGAUUAUCAUGAUGAACUAGAGAGAGAGACUCAUGAACUCGUGUUAUUCAUUAAUCAAGACAGAGUUUACAAUAUAUAAGCUCAGAUACAAGGGUUUCAGAGAGACUAAGCAUGUGAGGUCAAGGAUAAGGUUGCUUUAAUUCAAACUUGAUCCAAUGGGAGCUGUCACACGUUUUUGGCAUCUUGGACCAGGUUCCUUUUGCCUUUACAGCCUGUUCCAGCCUGUGUGGAUAAGGCUCAGUCACUCUAUCCAUCCAAACGGUCAUCUCCCCUAAGGUAAAACCCCUUUGGCCGUUUACUCCUUUCACGCGGUAACUUCUCUUCUUGGUCGAGUGGUGGAUUGAUCCGGACCGUACGGAUGGUAUGGCCGGUACGGCCUUGUACGGCCUGAUCACUCCCAAGCUCUCCUUCUCUUGGCCUUCACAUUAUCUCAUUCCCAACUCCUUAAGCUAUCUUCUCAUAUAUUGUUCAACUCAUUUCAACACUCCCCCUCAAGCUUAACUUAGUAUCUUAGUUAAGCUUGGAACAACCAUGAGAUCUUCCUCAUUAAAAACCUCACCAAAGAAAACCCAUUGGGACAAAACUUUGAUGAGGGAAAAAGAGUGAAGAGCUCAUGGCUAAGGGGAUCAGCUCCGUGGUGUAAGAUCUAUGAGUCCCAAUCUGAUGUGAAUGGACUCCAUAGUCUUUUGUCUUGCUGCCUUGGUGAACACAUCCGCAAGUUGAUCCUCACUCCUCGUAUAGCAUGGCAGGAUUACUCCCAAGACAAUCAUCUGCCUCACUUUGUGACAAUCAACUUCAAUGUGCUUGGUUCUCUCAUGGAAGACUGAGUUGGUUGCAAUGUGUAUAGCCGCUUGAUUAUCACAGUGCAUAGUCAUUGGAGUCACUUGCUCUAUCUCCAAAUGCUUCAAGAUCCCUUUAAUCCAUACCAACUCAUUUGUAAGCUUCAGCAUGGCUCUAUACUCAGCUUCAGCACUUGAACACGAUACCACCUUCUGCUUCUUGCUCUUCCAAGUCACCAAGUUGCCUCCAAUGAAUGUACAAUAGCCGGUGGUUGAUCUUCUGUCUGCUCUAUCUCCAUCUGCUUCUUACUCUUCCAAGUUACUAAGUUCCCUCCAAUGAAUGUGCAGUAGCCGGUUGUGGACCUUCUAUCUGCUCUAUCUCCUGCCCAAUCAGCGUCACAAUAUCCCACCACUUCAGUACUCUUGUUGCAUCCCAUCCAUACUCCAAGGCUUGAUGUCCCGUUCAGAUACAAGAGGAGUCUCUCCACCAUGCGCCAGUGAUGUUCCUUUGGGACUUGCAUAUGC
rnacentral:lncRNA from 1 species